rnacentral:rRNA from 1 species
UGGGGAAUAUUGGACAAUGGGCGCAAGCCUGAUCCAGCAAUGCCGCGUGAGUGAUGAAGGCCUUAGGGUUGUAAAGCUCUUUUACCCGUGAUGAUAAUGACAGUAGCGGGAGAAUAAGCCCCGGCUAACUCCGUGCCAGCAGCCGCGGUAAUACGGAGGGGGCUAGCGUUGUUCGGAAUUACUGGGCGUAAAGCGCACGUAGGCGGCUUUGUAAGUUAGAGGUGAAAGCCUGGAGCUCAACUCCAGAACUGCCUUUAAGACUGCAUCGCUUGAAUCCAGGAGAGGUGAGUGGAAUUCCGAGUGUAGAGGUGAAAUUCGUAGAUAUUCGGAAGAACACCAGUGGCGAAGGCGGCUCACUGGACUGGUAUUGACGCUGAGGUGCGAAAGCGUGGGGAGCAAGCAGAAUUAGAUACCCUGGUAGUCCACGCCGUAAACGAUGNUAUUCUAGCUGUCCGGGGAAAUUGGUCUUUGGUUUUUCGCAGCUAACGAAAUAAGUAUCCG